UACGGUGGGGGUAAGCGUUGUUCGGAAUUACUGGGCGUAAAGGGCUCGUAGGCGGCCAACUAAGUCAGACGUGAAAUCCCUCAGCUUAACUGGGGAACUGCGUCUGAUACUGGAUGGCUUGGAUUCGGGAGAGGGAUGCGGAAUUCCAGGUGUAGCGGUGAAAUGCGUAGAUAUCUGGAGGAACAUCAGUGGCGAAGGCGACUUCCUGGACCAAUACUGACGCUCAGGUGCGAAAGCGUGGGGAGCAAACAGG
rnacentral:rRNA from 1 species